AUGGAUUUCCCAGUGGAGGCGAAGGUGCAUUUGGGUAUGUGCCACAAUGAGACAGUAGCGCGAGAAAUCCUCAGAGCGUACGGCUUUACGUUGACAGAUCUGGGCAGCGAUCGAGUGCUUGUCAAGGGGUCAUUUCUGAGACUUAAAGCUGCAAAAGCCGUUCUGGAGCCACUUAUUAACUCACAAACCAAGACAGACAUCACGCCGUCCUCAUCCUCACUGGUCCCAACGGUUUCCUCUGGAGCCGUUCCCAAACACCACCCCAGCAGCAGCUCAGAUGGUUACAGAAGCCGGUCAGGAUCCCGAAACAAGCCUCCGCAUGCUUCUCAAUCUUCACCCAAGACCUCCUCACCUUGGGCGUCCGGCUCUCCGAACAACCACCAAACCUCUCCAGAGCACAGAGCUUCUUUUUCUCCGAGACCGGACCAGCGGAGCUCAGUCAGACCUGAAGGAGAGUGCUUUAUCGUUGAUGGGGAUGUGUUUACUUACGCAGACCGGCUCAGGAGAAAAGAAAUCGAGGGUAUUCUGAACAGCCAUGAAGUCACAAUGGGAGUGCAGCCGGUUGGCGAUAGCUUCAAUCUCACUUUAGUCGGAAAGAACGCGGGGAACGCUGUCGGUGAACUGCAGAGUCUCCUGAACAAUCUCAACAAAUCACUACGCACGCAGGAAGUUCCUCUUAAGGACAUGGAUCGUGACGGCCGAGCUCUUCUAGGGAGGAUCAAGAGAGGCGGAAACACUCAUUAUUCAGUGUUCGUAUGUGAGAAGAAUGACAAACUCCAGCUCAUAGGACCGUCUGGUGAGAGCUACGAGUUAAAGCAGAGGCUGUUGGGGAGGCCGGUUGACCGGUCAGGACGUACAGGAAGGACAAUGGACAAAACCCCCAGAGGCAGGAGCAGCUCUCUACCACCAAUCAGUCGAAAAAACACAGGUGGAGAUAACGGUGCUGUCGCCAAUCCGCCUCCUGCUGGAGCUGCAGGUUACACUCCGUCAAAGUACCCAGAUGAUAAACGGGAAGGUCGUGAGCAAAAGGGCAGAGUUUCUAAAUGGUUCUCAUCUUUCAGGAGAAGAAGCCACUCUGAGUCCCACCAAAAAAGCAGAGCGGGAAGGGUCAACGACAACGUGGAAGACACGGAAAACAGAAUCACUAAAUCUACUAAAUCACCCAAGAAAGGUUUCAUUGGGUUCUUACAGCUUCCAUGGAAAAAUAUGAAGAGAAAAUGA
rnacentral:lncRNA from 15 species